rnacentral:rRNA from 1 species
GACGAACGCUGGCGGCGUGCUUAACACAUGCAAGUCGAACGGAAAGGCCCUGCUUUUGUGGGGUGCUCGAGUGGCGAACGGGUGAGUAACACGUGAGUAACCUGCCCUUGACUUUGGGAUAACUUCAGGAAACUGGGGCUAAUACCGGAUAGGAGCUCCUGCUGCAUGGUGGGGGUUGGAAAGUUUCGGCGGUUGGGGAUGGACUCGCGGCUUAUCAGCUUGUUGGUGGGGUAGUGGCUUACCAAGGCUUUGACGGGUAGCCGGCCUGAGAGGGUGACCGGCCACAUUGGGACUGAGAUACGACCCAGACUCGUGCUGGAGGCAGCAGUGCCGAAUAUGUCACAAUGGGCGGAAGCCUGAUGCAGCAACGCCGCGUGCGGGAUGACGGCCUUCGGGUUGUAAACCGCUUUCGCCUGUGACGAAGCGUGAGUGACGGUAAUGGGUAAAGAAGCACCGGCUAACUACGUG